AUAUGACCUCCGGUACUAGAUUUCGGGUUCAGACCCUCGUCUUUUCGUCCUUUCCCUUCAAAGAUUUCACACUCGGUUAGAUCCUCUCUUUUCAUCCUUUCCUUCCAAAGGUUUCACAUUCAGUUUACGUUUUCCCCAAAUUCCCAAGUCCAAAACUAAGCGCCACAUUCAUUUUUGUUUUGGUGAGUUUAGGGUUCAUCUCCCAAAUCGGUUUCCUUUCACCUAGGAUCGAUCAAUCUCGUCAUCAAACCUAGGGAUUCCGCGAGCAAAGAAUAUGAUUGGAAAUCAAAUAUGAAACGUGUCUUGAUUUGGUUGCCAAAACAAUUGGUAGCAAGAGCUCUGUGUAUCGAGGAGUAGUCAAGUAUAUGUGCAACGAAGAUCGUUUUGAAGCAUUUGUGUGGGAUAAGAGCGAUCCAGGGGAAAAAGGAAGAACAGUUUACAUUGGUGCUUAUUCAACUGAAGUUGACGCCGCCAAAGCUCAUGAUUUGGUGUCAAUCAGAAUUGGGGGCUUAAAAGCAUUAACCAAUUGUCAUGUGAGGUGUCAUUCCAAGGACAUGGAUGAAAUGAGAAGAAUGAGCAAAUGGGACUAUAUUUGUGCUAUUAGAGGGUUCUGCCAUUGAAAACAACUACACAAACAUUUCGUCGUAUAAUCAAUCUUGUGAUUUCACGUAUGCUGCUUACACAUGUUCACUCUGGAUUUUCUAAACCAAGUAGCAAAUGGCCUUGAAAUCAAAAGCAUAAAUCCAAACAUGCUAUAAAAAACAGGGAUUUGCGACACCAAUUAUUUGGGAAGCACCAUAGAAGGCACAACAGAAGCAGAAGUCCUUGAAAAGCAAGUUGUCCAAUGGUUGAGAGCAUUGCAUAGCAGGAAUAAGAAAGCAUUGGAAUUCAUUGCUAAAGGCUGGAAUGCUUUGAUCCUGAUGCACAGUAUGCACUGGGUUGUCAUUUAAGAGUUGAGAGUUGGUUACCGUUAAUGGAUUUAAAAUUGCUUAUGCAAUUAAGAAUGAUGCAAAAGGACCAAGAGGAUGAAAGGUCGAGACUUUCAAAAGUCAAAAACAGGAUCCGUCCUUGCUUUCAAAGUCACCUUCAGAAACAAACUAGUGAUACAAAUGAGCCUGAGUCUUCUAUGGGUACAAGAGGAUCAUCUGGUGGUAGCAACAUUUAGGGUGUUGAUGAUGUUUUUUAGGAUGAAACUAUUUUAGUGUAUUAUGAAGUUUGAGUAAGUAUGGAUUAAGUUGUAAUUGUUUCAUUUUAAAUUGCUUUUAUGUUAAUAUGUUGAUUUUGAGAAA